rnacentral:rRNA from 1 species
GAAACUGCAGGUAAUACCGAAUAAUAUCUCCGGAUCAAAGGUGUGAUUCCGCUUGGGGAGGAGACUGCGUACUACUAGCUUGUUGGUGGGGUAAUGGCCUACCAAGGCUUUGAUGGUUAGCGGGCGUGAGAGCGUGGCCCGUCUCACUGGGACUGAAACACUGCCCAGACACCUACGGGUGGCUGCAGUCGAGAAUCUUCGGCAAUGGGCGGAAGCCUGACCGAGCGAUGCCGCGUGCGGGAUGAAGGCCUUCGGGUUGUAAACCGCUGUCAGUAGGGAGGAAGAGCCGAUGAAGAAUCGGCUUUGACCUAUCUUCAGAGGAAGUCCGGGCUAAGUUCGUGCCAGCAGCCGCGGUAACACGAACCGGACAAACGUUAUUCGGAAUUAUUGGGCUUAAAGGGUGUGUAGGCGGUCAUGUAGGUGGGGUGUGAAAUCCCUCGGCUCAACCGAGGAACUGCGCUCCAAACCCCGUGACUAGAGGGAGACAGAGGUAAGCGGAACUGAUGGUGGAGCGGUGAAAAUGCGUUGAUAUCAUCAGGAACACCAGUGGCGAAAGCGGCUUACUGGGUCUCUUCUGACGCUGA